rnacentral:misc_RNA from 1 species
GAUGAAGAACGUAGCGAAAUGCGAUACGUAAUGUGAAUUGCAGAUCUCUCAGUGAAUCAUCGAAUCUUUGAACGCACAUUGCGCCCGCUGGUAUUCCGGCGGGCAUGCCUGUUCGAGCGUCAUUUCAACCCUCAAGCUCUCCGGAGUUUGGUGUUGGGGCGCCUGGGGCUUUUCGACCUCAGGGCCCUCAAGUCCAUCGGCGGGACCGCCAGGACACUGAGCGCAGUAGUAUUAUUUCGCUCGGUAGGAUCUUCCACGGCGGGUCGAUCUGGCCGCUAAACCCCCCAAUUCUCACCAAAGGUUGACCUCGGAUCAGGUAGGAAUACCCGCUGAACUUAAGCAUAUCAAUAAGCGGAGGA